rnacentral:lncRNA from 1 species
GCUGGAAACUUUGAUGCUUAAUUUAUUUAUUCAUUCUUUGCAGGACUUCUUGAACAUGUUUUUCAGGGAUGUUUACAAGCCAAUCCCUUCGGAUUACAACCUUGUACUGGCCAUGUUAUGGCGCCAUCCUGAGAACAUUAACCUCGACAAAGUGAAAGUUGUCCACUACUGCGCUGCUGUGAGUAUUCUCCAAGCUCAUAUAAAAACCAUUUUACAUACUUGAACAAUAAACUUGUCGUUUUGGACAUUUGAGUUCUACAAUUCUAAUAAUGUUGUGCAUUGGUUUACAGGGAUCUAAGCCAUGGAGGUUCACAGGAAAAGAAGAGAACAUGGACAGAGAAGACAUCAAGAUGGUGGUCAACAAAUGGUGGGACAUUUACAAGGACGAAUCAUUGGACUACAAGAACACUGUUGCUGCUGCUGCUGCUUCUGCUGGAGCUGAACUGCAUCCAUUCUUGGCGGCUCUCUCUGAGGCUGGUGUUGUCCACUAUGUUACCGCCCCCUCCGCCGCUUAGUACUUGUAAAUUGUGGAGCUACUAGUUUCAAACAGUCCAAUUGUAGAGGAAAAACAACUUUUCUUUCAGCUCUUUUUGGUGGUUAACAUCCCCUGUAUUAUUAACUGGGAUGGGAUAUUGCUCUUUUGAAUUUUCUAGGAAGUUUAUGAGGACCUUGUAUCCAUCCUUUAGUAAAUAAUAUGAACAAGUAUUUUCUUUGUAUACACAUUUCUUUAUAUUUUCAUAUGUUGUAUUGAAGAAGCAAUGGGAUUUGCUCUGACUAACUUCUAUUUUUCUUUCGUAUCAUUCCAUCUCCAACCCUGAAUUCUUCAUUUCAUUCGAAUCUUAAGAGAUGGGACCUCGGGAAUGGUGAAUCAUUUGAUUUCAAGAUGGUGUUGGGGCCUGUGAAAUGGUCUGUACUGGAGAGUUUCACAGCCGUGCUGCCUCUCCAUCCUAAGUGAAUGUGGGGAUGCAUUUAUGCCCCGCUGGAAAGUAGUUUUGUUUAUUAAAUAACUCAAGACGUUGGAAAGCAAUGUAUUUUCACACGCCUUUUAAUUAUACUUACAUAUAAUAAUAAUAAUAAAUAUUAUAAUAUUAUAUUAUAUAUAUAUUAUUUUUCGUUUUUAUUUUUUUUUCUGUAUUUUCUUUUUGUUUUUUAUGCCUUAUGGGUUUUUUUUUUGCUUCUUUCUUGGUUUUUUUUUUCCUUUAAAUUUUUUUGUUUAAUUUAGUUUGUUAAUUGAUCCCGAGUUUGACGGGUUAACCUGAAUUGACGAGUUAACUAGACAUUUUAUUUUUUUUUUUUUUUAUUUUUAUUUAAUUUUUUUUAUUUAGUUUAGUUUGUUAAUGUUAAAUUUCUUUUUAUUUAAUUAUCAAACUUUCAUGACACAUAUUCCAAGCUUGACAGGUUAACCCAGUUAAUUAUGGGUUAACCCGUCAAUUUUUUUUUUCUAUUUAGUUAUUAAACUUUCAUGACACGAAUUUAAGGUUUGACGGGUUAUCCUGGUUUGAAAGGUUAACCAGUUAAUUCAGAUUUUUUUUUUCUUUUUCUUCAUUAAUUUUUUUUCUUUGUUUUUUUUUCUUUUUAAUUAUCACACUUUUAUGACACGACCUUGCUAUCAGACCCACAUUCAAGGCUCUUAGGUCAGGUGUUACAACCAAACUCACUCAAACUUGAGUAAUUUAAGUUUAAUAUUAUUAUAAAUAUUACUCUCGGGUCAAGCGUUGCAAUUAGACCAAAGGCUCUUGAUUAUAUCUUUGCAGAAAGAUAUAACACUCUUAGAUCUUACCAUUUUUUUGAUAUUUUUUAUGCAAGAAAAAAAAAACCGGUGACGUAUGCCUUUGUUUUGUUUUUUUAAUUUUCCUUUUCCUUUUUAAGCCUUUUACUGUGGACUGCACAGUGCAGUCCACAGUGAAAAAGCUGAUGCCUUUAUUUUUUAUAUCUUUUUUUUUCUUUUUUUUGUUUUGUAAUUAUUCUUUUAAUUUAGUUUUUUAAUAUUAAAUUUUUUUUGUUUAAUUAUUAGACUUUCAUGAUACGAAUCCUAGGUUUGACGGGUUAACAGUUGAUUCAGAUUGUUUUUCUUUUUCCUUAUUAGUUUUGUUCUUUCGAUUUCAUCUUUUAAUAUUGUAUGUAAUCCACAGUGAAAAUGCUAAUAUCUUUAAUUAUUUUUUUUUCUUUUUAUUCCUUUCACUGUGAACUGCACAAUAUAGCCCAUGGUGAAAAUGUUGAUGCCUUUUUUUUUAAUUAACUUUUUUUUAUUUAGUUUGUUGAUAUUAAAUUUUUUUUAUUUAGUUAUCAGACUUUCAUGACACAAAUCUCAGGUUUGAAAGGUUAACCCAGUUAAUUCAAAAAAAAAUUUUCAUGUUGGUUUUUUUUCAUUGUUUUUUUCUUUUUAAUUAAUCUAUUUAAAUAUUACACUUUUAUGACACAACUUUGCAGCUAGACUCAUAUCCAAGACUAUUGGGUGUUGUAUUGCAGCCAGACCCACUUAAACUUGGUUCUUUCAAGUUUAAUGUUAUUAUAAAUAUUACGUUUGGGUUAGGCGUUGCAGUCAAAUCUAAGACUCUUAAAUACGUUUGGGUUUUUUUUAAUAUUUUUUAUGCCAAAAAAUUGACCCGCAGCAUCGCGCGGGUCAUGUAACUAGUUUUAUUUUAUUUUUUGUUGGAAAGUGAUUUUUUUAAAAAAAUAAAAUUUUGAAAAGUAAAUUUUGUUAAUGGUAGUAUUAUGAAAAAUAAAUUGAAAAAUUCAAUGAAAAUUGAGUUGAAAAAUAAAUUGUUAAUAUGUUUUUCAACUUUCUUAAAAUAAUAAGGAAUAAAUCUUACAAAUUAAAAAAGUCUUACAAAUUAAAAAAUUAAAUGAGAAGAAAAUUGAAAAAAAAUCUAAUUUUAUAAAUUGUCUAAAAUAAAAUAAAUAACAAUCAAAUAAUAGAGAUCAAAUCUAACAGAUAAAAAAGAUUAAAAUGAUAAAGAUUAAAUCUAACAGAUAAAAAUGAUGAGAGAUGAUGAAAUUAAAAAAAAUUUACAAUUUCAUAAAUUAUUUCAAAUAAAAUAAAUAAAAAUUAAAAAAAUAAUGACAAAAUUUGAUAGAUAAAAAUUCAAUUAAGAAAAUGAUAAGUGAAAAACAAAUAAUAAUUAUAAAAAUAAGAACCAAAGUUGAUAUAAAAAUCAAAUAUUGAAGAAAAAAAAUAUUCAAAACAAAAAAUAUAAUAAUCAAAAUAUUGAGGAUUAAAUUUGAUAUAACCAACAAAUAAUAUGAUGUUUCUAAAUUUUUUAAAAUUUUAAAAAGUGUUUUUCGUAAAAAAAUAAAAGAAAAAUAUUUUUUUGAAAAUCAAGUCAAUUUUUAUUUAUUAAAAAGUAUUUUUUAUUAACUAAUUUUUCUAUUAACAAAUAAACAUAUAAAUAUUUAAAAAAUAAUUUUAAAAAGUAACUUUUCAUAAAACAACAUGGCUUAUGAUCUUAAAAUAUUCAAAUCAAGCAGCAGCUGAUCUCUUUAAAAACAUGCUUAGAGGUGUGCAACAGCCUCCAACAAAGACUUGCAUAAGCAAGCAAAUGUAGGAUUAUUGAGUUUUGCCUCCUAAAAUAAUUGUUUUUAGGAGGACUCUGAUAUGCUGGAAAUAUUUUGUUUGUUUUUAUAUUUUAAAAUUUUUUUUUUAUUUUAAAUUAUUAUUUUUUUAAUAUUUUAGAUCAUUUUAAUAUAAAAAAUUAAAAAAAAUAAUUAUUUUAAUAUAUUUACAAAUAAAAAACAAUUUGAAAAGCAAUUAUAACCACACUCCCAACACACUUGAUCCAAGAUAAUUGGCUUGAUGGUUAAAAUCAAGAGCUGUUUUUCUUCCUUUUCUUUUAUUUUUAUCAACGAUUUCAUCUGUUUUUAGCCACCGAAUUCAAAACUUUAAAGGGUAAGGUUUUUAUUUGAUUUUUUAAUUUUGGUAGGGACGACGACUGGUUGAAGUGGACAAGUGGUCUCAAUUUUGUUAGUUAAACUUCAGCUUUCGUUGAAAAGUCUUUUUAUAAAUCUUGGACUCUUCCUUGUAUUCAAAAGAAAGAGUCGCCAUAGAUUUUUUUAUUUUUAAUGUAUUUAUAUUAAAAAUAAAAUUUAAAAAAUAAUAAGAAAUAUUAUGGCUAUAUUCCACUAACUUAAAUCUAGGCAAACCGACAAUCUUAACUAGCAGAAAUCAAGUCCAUGAUCUUCAAGAUCGAAAAUUAAUGAUGUUACCAAAUACAAUAAAGAAAUAUUAUCGAAACUGAAGGUCGGUUAUCCUAGGGUCCCACAUCUCAUCAACUAACAUAACAAGAAAGUUCGUCAUAAUACAUAAAAGCCCCCCAUCUACUCCCGAUAAAGAUAGGCGUGUUUGCCUGCCACGUGGAGUUUGUGGGUCCUUCCUUAAUUCACCACCAGGUAUAUUCUUGGUUGGAAAAUACAGGCCUAUAGGAAUAUAUGCCACGUGGCGUUGGGGGGGGGGUUCCCUACCUUAAUUCACCACCAGGUAUAUUCUUGGUUGGAAAUCACAGGCCUUUAGGGAUAUGCCACGUGGUGUUUGUGGGUCCUCCCUUCAUUCACUACAAGGUAUAUUGUUGGUUGGAGAUCGCACGCCUGUAGGAAUAUGCCAUGUGGAGAAACCGGGUUUGCUGCCUGGAGCCGCGCUGGGCUUCCGUGUUGUGUUUAUAGCUGCGUGGCUAAUAUCUUCUCACUAUUUGAUGGAGAAAAAAGGAAUUCUUCUUGUUUUUUUUUUUCAUCUAGAAAAUUAUUUGAAUCUAUCUUUGAUAUAAUAUAUUUUAAAAUUAUUGUUAAAUUAAUCUUUAGCCUCAAAACAUACAGAAAAAAAUCUAAAAACCCAACAUGCUCGAAGAAUUUUUUUUUUCCAGGCUCAUAUAUGUUUUUUUUAAGCAUUUUCAAAUAAAAAAAAUACAAUUUAAACUUUCAUUAUAGUAUAAAACUAUUUAAUAUAAAAUAGAUUGUUUUGAUGACUGAAAUGGUUGUUUACAACAACUUUUUAUCUUUGUGUCAAAAUUCAGCGAACUUCUUUCUCUUUUAUAAAAAAUAGUGAAAAAUUAAAAAAAAAUAAAAAAUAAAAUCAAAAUGUAAUUUUUUAAUAUUGAAGGAAAUAGUCAUCUGGCAGCUUAAAAAGAUAGAAGACUAAAAUGAAUUUUUGACACAAAUUUCAAUCUACCCCUAAUUUACUCAAGUUUUUCACUUUAGUCAUCAAUCUUCCAAUUCAUUCUUCACUCGCCAAAAACAAAAAUACAAUUGAAUACUAAUUCAAUCUAAAAAGGUCUAAAUUGUGUAAAACAAAUAUUAAAAGAUUAAAUUAAUUUUUUUAAAAAAUCACCGAUCUAAUUCACAGUGAUACAUGAGAUGCUAAACAAUAUUUGUGAUAUAGUAAAAAGAGGAGUUCUUAGUGUAUGUAUAUAUAUAUUUUUUAUUUUAAUGUGUUGAUAUCAAAAAUAAAUUUAAAUAAUAAUAAUAAAUAUUAUUUAAUAUAUUUAUAAUUAAAUGGAGUUUAAAAAGGAAUCUUUCGCACAAUACAGAACACUACCACUAGCAUAAUGGUAUAUUCCAAGAACUUAAAUCUGGUUAAACCAACAACCUUGACCGGCAGUGAUCAAGUCCAUGAUUUUGUUGAUUCAAGAUCGAAACUUCAUGUUGCUACCAAAUAAAGUCAAGAAAUAUUAUCCAAACUCGAGGUCCCACAUUUCAACCAACUAACAUAACUAGAAAAGAAGACCCCCAUCUACUACCGAUAAAGAUAGGCGUGUGUGGCCUGCCACGUGGCGUUUGUGGGUCCUACAUACCCCCUCCAUUCACCACCUGGUAUGUCACAGGCCUAUAGGGAUACGCAACGUGGAGAAACCGGGUUUGCUGCCUUAAGCCGCGUUGGGCUUCCGUGUCGUGUUUAUAGUAGACCCAGGGCGGUGGUAAUUGACUAGGUGUAAUAAUUAUUUUAAUUAUACUUUUACUCUUUAUUUUUUUUAUUUUAUAAUCUCUCUUCUGAUUAUAUAAUAAAAAUAUGGUUUAAUAUAAUAAGGUAAUAAAAUCAAGAUGGAAGGAUAUUCUUCUGUUCAAGAAGUGAGAUUCCAGGACUCGAUGUUUCAAUAUCCGAGGCAGUAAAAUAAUUCAAAUAUUUUUACUAAAAUAAUGUUAUUUUUUUUUUAAUUUAAAAUUUAAAAUGACUGAUGGGAGACUUAUAGCUAUGAUUUUAAGAGAUGGAAACAUUCUCAAUUAAUGGAAAGAGAUUAUCUGUUAUUUUCGUAUUAUUACCAUCUCAUUAAAUUCUUUAUUUAAGGAGCUAAUCUCUCCUUAUUUUACUCUCAUAUACUCCCUCUCAAUUUCUUUUUCUUUGAUAGCUGCUCCUUCGAGGCAAAUUACCUCAAGAUUGGGAUAAAUCUCGGCAAAAUCUCGUGCAAUAAAAUAUAAUCAAAUGAAUAUUUUGGUUGACGAAGAAAAAGGAAACAAUAUUUAAUGGGCUUUAUCUUGCACCGACAAAUUCCACGAGUCUCUCGUUCGCAUCUUUGGGAUUUCCUCCUAAACCUCGGAGUUUACAAUUGGAAACAAACGAUUCGCCAUGUUUUUUUUUUUUUUUUUUAAAUUAAGAUAUAAAGAAAGAUUCAAUAUUAAAACAAAUAAAAAUAAAUUCAAUAUCUUAUCUAAAAGCAAGAAAUGCACUCGUCGAAUUAACGUGGAGUCUCUUAAAUUUUAUACUACUAUAUAUCUUUCACCUACCUUUCAGAUCUAAAUGCACGCUCGAGUUUCUCUAUAUAUACAGCACUACACGCAGCACAACUUCACUCAUAUCCAAAACUUUCAAAGAUCCAAGCAAUAUAGUUUUCUGCAGCCUUGAAUCUUCGCUUUUUUCUCUUCGUAAACAAACGAUUCGUUUCGAGACCCUUCUGUAGCUUAUCUCAUUCUCUUGAUAGAUACCAUGGCUCCUGAUAUCACCACUACUCUCGCUAACAACGCCACCACUCUUGUGAAGCAAGCUAGCAUAUCAAGUUGUGCUUAUGUUACCUUUUUGGCUGGUGAUGGAGACUACUGGAAGGGUGUUGUGGGGUUAGCCAAGGGGCUGAGGAAGGCCGAAAGUAGGUAUCCACUUGUGGUGGCUAUCUUGCCUGAUGUUCCCGAGGAGCAUCGAAAGAUUCUUGUUUCCCAAGGGUGCAUAGUGAGGGAGAUUGAGCCUGUUCAUCCACCGGAGAACCAGACUCAGUUUGCUAUGCCUUACUAUGUCAUCAACUACUCCAAGCUUCGUAUCUGGGAGGUCUGUAUGCAUGUCUUAGACUUGCUAGUUGUACUUUGUGUUUCUCUUGAUGAAAAAACAGAGGAUCACUGUCAGUUUCUUUUUUGCUUAUUUUUAGUCUUCAUAUAUAUAUAUAUAUAUAUCUCAUAACCUUUUCGUCUUUGAUUGCAGUUUGUUGAGUAUAGCAAGAUGAUAUACUUGGACGGGGACAUCCAGGUAUUCGACAACAUAGACCACCUGUUUGACAUGCCCGAUGGUCACUUCUAUGCUGUGAUGGACUGUUUCUGUGAGAAAACAUGGAGCAACAGCCCUCAGUACAAGAUUGGUUACUGCCAGCAGUGUCCUGAUAAGGUCCAGUGGCCUGCGGAGAUGGGUCCUAAGCCCCCUCUCUACUUCAAUGCUGGCAUGUUUGUUUAUGAGCCCAACCUGUCCACUUAUCAUGAUCUGUUGGAGACCGUCAAGGUCACCUCCCCCACCCUCUUUGCUGAGCAGGUAAAUAUCAUCUUUGCUUUGUUAUCUUGUCAAGGACUUCUUAGCUGGAAACUUUGAUGCUUAAUUUAUUUAUUCAUUCUUUGCAGGACUUCUUGAACAUGUUUUUCAGGGAUGUUUACAAGCCAAUCCCUUCGGAUUACAACCUUGUACUGGCCAUGUUAUGGCGCCAUCCUGAGAACAUUAACCUCGACAAAGUGAAAGUUGUCCACUACUGCGCUGCUGUGAGUAUUUAUCCUGCUCUUAUAUAAUAAUUUUAUUUAAUUAUGUCCUGCUGU